UUCAGGUUUUCGGUUCUCUCUCUCACUCUUUCUUCCUCUUUCUAUUGUCUCCAAAACCUAAAAACUAGACAGGAAAAAAUUCAAAAAAAAUGCAGAAAUCAAACUAAAAACUAGUUUUUGAUAGGGUUAUAGAGAUACGGAAGAUCAAUCGAAAUGGAAAAUUUAAAAAAAAAAAAACAGAAAACUAGGGUUUGUAAUUGAUGUUUGAAUAUUAAUAACGUGCAAUCUUCAAAUUAAGGUACAAAUCAAAGGUAAAACAUCAAUUAACUUGUUUCAAAUAGUUUUCAUUUCAAUUCAUUUUGAUUUUGUUAGGGUUUAGUAAUAAACUUUUGGUUGAUUUUUAUGCAAAUUAAUCUUCCUUAACAGCUUAUGUUGAUUUGUAUUUAACUGCUAAUUUUGUUUGAUUCUGAUUCGUCAAUUUGUUUUUUUUUGUUUCAAAACUUCUUCAUCUAGUUAGAUUUAUAAAUCGGAUAUUAUUUUUUUUCAAAUAUCCUUUAUCUAGUACAGAUCUAUUAAUCGUUGUUGUUUUUUGUUUCAUUUACUAAUGACUUUUAUAAUUUCAUUGCAUGUAAUGAGAUCAAUAUAUUUAUGCAUGGAAACCGAUGAUAUUGAUGCUAAAAAUCAACAUAAACAUCUUUAAAAGAAACAUGGAUUCGUCCCUUCUUAUACAAGUCGACCAUGCAUAAGUGUACAAUCACCAAGUCUGGAUCGCGAUCCUCAAUAUAUAAGUAGAUACUUUAGUAGAGAAGAUGAUUAUGAAAGAGAUGCAUGCCCUCCUGCAGAAAGAUACAAUAAUAAUAUACAAAGAAGAAUAUGAAGUGUUCGUUGGUGGGCUUGAAACAGAUGCAGAUGCAAAUUAUUUAAUGUGUUUAAGUUAGGUAAGUUAUAAAAAUGAGAUUAAUGAAUAGUGCAUUAAGAAUAAGGUUUUGCAUUUGUUAGAUUUGUGUCUGUUGAAUGACACUCUAGACCGAAACGUGAUAUGAAUAGAUAUAUUGUCCCAAAAUGAAUGAAUCACUAUGAUACAUUGCAGACA